rnacentral:rRNA from 1 species
UUAGGAAUAUUCGUCAAUGGGGGAAACCCUGAACGAGCAAUGCCGCGUGAAGGAAGAAGGUUCUAUGGAUUGUAAACUUCUGUUGUUAGGGAAGAACGACCAUAUGAGGAAAUGCAUAUGGAGUGACGGUACCUUUCAAGAAAGCUCCGGCUAACUACGUGCCAGCAGCCGCGGUAAUACGUAGGGAGCGAGCGUUAUCCGGAUUUAUUGGGUGUAAAGCGUGUGUAGGCGGUUUUUUAAGUCUGAGGUAUAAGCCCGGAGCUCAACUCCGGUUCGCCUUGGAAACUGAGGGACUUGAGUGCGGUAGAGGCAAGUGGAAUUUCUAGUGUAGCGGUAAAAUGCGUAGAUAUUAGAAGGAACACCAGUGGCGAAGGCGACUUGCUGGGCCGUUACUGACGCUGAGACACGAAAGCGUGGGGAGCAAAUAGG